AUGAACGCUGGCGGCGUGCCUAAUACAUGCAAGUCGAGCGAACGGACGAGAAGCUUGCUUCUCUGAUGUUAGCGGCGGACGGGUGAGUAACACGUGGAUAACCUACCUAUAAGACUGGGAUAACUUCGGGAAACCGGAGCUAAUACCGGAUGAUAUUUUGAACCGCAUGGUUCAAAAGUGAAAGACGGUCUUGCUGUCACUUAUAGAUGGAUCCGCGCUGCAUUAGCUAGUUGGUAAGGUAACGGCUUACCAAGGCAACGAUGCAUAGCCGACCUGAGAGGGUGAUCGGCCACACUGGAACUGAGACACGGUCCAGACUCCUACGGGAGGCAGCAGUAGGGAAUCUUCCGCAAUGGGCGAAAGCCUGACGGAGCAACGCCGCGUGAGUGAUGAAGGUCUUCGGAUCGUAAAACUCUGUUAUUAGGGAAGAACAUAUGUGUAAGUAACUGUGCACAUCUUGACGGUACCUAAUCAGAAAGCCACAGCUAACUACAUG
rnacentral:rRNA from 1 species